rnacentral:misc_RNA from 1 species
GAUGAAGAACGCAGCGAAAUGCGAUAAGUAAUGUGGAUUGCAGAAUUCAGUGAAUCAUCGAAUCUUUGAACGCACAUUGCGCCCGCCAGUAUUCUGGCGGGCAUGCCUGUUCGAGCGUCAUUUCAACCAUCAAGCCCCCGGCUUGUGUUGGGGACCUGCGGCUGCCGCAGGCCCUGAAAAGCAGUGGCGGGCUCGCUGUCACACCGAGCGUAGUAGCAUACAUCUCGCUCUGGGCGUGCUGCGGGUUCCGGCCGUUAAACCACCUUCAUAACCCAAGGUUGACCUCGGAUCAGGUAGGAAGACCCGCUGAACUUAAGCAUAUCAAUAAGCGGAGGA